ACUCAAAUGAAUUGACGGGGGCCCGCACAAGCGGUGGAGCAUGUGGUUCAAUUCGACGCAACGCGAAGAACCUUACCUGGGUUAGACAACGGUGGACCGCCCUAGAAAUAGGGCUUUCCCUUCGGGGACUGCCGGUUCAGGUGCUGCAUGGCUGUCGUCAGCUCGUGCCGUGAGGUGUUGGGUUAAGUCCCGCAACGAGCGCAACCCUUGCCCUUAGUUGCUACCAUUAAGUUGAGCACUCUAGGGGGACUGCCGGCGUUAAGCCGGAGGAAGGCGGGGACGACGUCAAGUCAUCAUGGCCCUUAUAUCCAGGGCUACACACGUGCUACAAUGGGCGGUACAAAGGGUUGCAAACCCGCGAGGGGGAGCCAAUCCCAAAAAGCCGCUCUCAGUUCGGAUUGGAGUCUGCAACUCGACUCCAUGAAGGCGGAAUCGCUAGUAAUCGCGGAUCAGCACGCCGCGGUGAAUACGUUCCCGGGCCUUGUACACACCGCCCGU
rnacentral:rRNA from 1 species